ACGUAGGGUGCAAGCGUUAAUCGGAAUUACUGGGCGUAAAGCGUGCGCAGGCGGUUGUGCAAGACAGAUGUGAAAUCCCCGGGCUCAACCUGGGAAUUGCAUUUGUGACUGCACGGCUAGAGUGUGUCAGAGGGGGGUAGAAUUCCACGUGUAGCAGUGAAAUGCGUAGAUAUGUGGAGGAAUACCGAUGGCGAAGGCAGCCCCCUGGGAUAACACUGACGCUCAUGCACGAAAGCGUGGGGAGCAAACAGG
rnacentral:rRNA from 1 species